AUUGAACGCUGGCGGCAUGCUUUACACAUGCAAGUCGAACGGUAACAGGCCGCAAGGUGCUGACGAGUGGCGAACGGGUGAGUAAUGCAUCGGAACGUGCCCCGUCGUGGGGGAUAACUACUCGAAAGAGUAGCUAAUACCGCAUACGAUCCAUGGAUGAAAGCGGGGGACCGUAAGGCCUCGCGCGCUUGGAGCGGCCGAUGUCAGAUUAGGUAGUUGGUGGGGUAAAGGCUCACCAAGCCAACGAUCUGUAGCUGGUCUGAGAGGACGACCAGCCACACUGGGACUGAGACACGGCCCAGACUCCUACGGGAGGCAGCAGUGGGGAAUUUUGGACAAUGGGCGCAAGCCUGAUCCAGCAAUGCCGCGUGCAGGAAGAAGGCCUUCGGGUUGUAAACUGCUUUUGUACGGAACGAAACGGCUCUGGUUAAUACCCGGGGCUAAUGACGGUACCGUAAGAAUAAGCACCGGCUAACUACGUG
rnacentral:rRNA from 1 species